GGCGUCGAGCGGCGGACGGGUGAGUAUGCUUGGGAAUAUGCCUUAUGGUGGGGGACAACAGUUGGAAACGACUGCUAAUACCGCAUGAUGUCUACGGACCAAAGUGGGGGACCUUCGGGCCUCACGCCAUAAGAUUAGCCCAAGUGGGAUUAGCUAGUUGGUGAGGUAAUGGCUCACCAAGGCGACGAUCCCUAGCUGGUUUGAGAGGAUGAUCAGCCACACUGGGACUGAGACACGGCCCAGACUCCUACGGGAGGCAGCAGUGGGGAAUAUUGCACAAUGGGCGCAAGCCUGAUGCAGCCAUGCCGCGUGUGUGAAGAAGGCCUUCGGGUUGUAAAGCACUUUCAGUAAGGAGGAAAGGUUAAGUGUUAAUAGCACUUAGCUGUGACGUUACUUACAGAAGAAGCACCGGCUAACUCCGUGCCAGCAGCCGCGGUAAUACGGAGGGUGCGAGCGUUAAUCGGAAUUACUGGGCGUAAAGCGUACGCAGGCGGUUUGUUAAGCGAGAUGUGAAAGCCCCGGGCUCAACCUGGGAACUGCAUUUCGAACUGGCAAACUAGAGUGUGAUAGAGGGUGGUAGAAUUUCAGGUGUAGCGGUGAAAUGCGUAGAGAUCUGGAGGAAUACCGAUGGCGAAGGCAGCCACCUGGGUCAACACUGACGCUCAUGUACGAAAGCAUGGGGAGCAAACAGGAUUAGAUACCCUGGUAG
rnacentral:rRNA from 1 species